rnacentral:rRNA from 1 species
UAAAAUUUAUAAAAUUAGGUAGUAAAGAAAUUUCUGAAACCUAAAGAAUUUGGCGGUAUUUUAAAUAAUUGGAGGAACCUGUUAUUUAAUUGACAAUCCACAACAAAUCUUACCUAAAUUUUAUUUGUAUAUCGUCGUUUUGAUAAUAUUUAAAAAUAAUAAUCAAUUUUAAUAAAUUUUUAAAAUUCAGAUCAAGGUGCAGUAUAUUUAGGUUAUAAUGGGUUACAAUAUAAUUAUAUAUAAUGAAUAUAGACUUGAAAUUAUAUUGAAGGUGGAUUCAAAAGUAAAAUUAAAUUAAAAAGCUAAUUUGAUUAAUAAUUUAAAAUAUGC